rnacentral:tRNA from 1 species
GAGGGUAUAGCUCUAGUGGUAGAGCAUAUGCCUAGCAUGCACGAGGUCCUGGGUUCAAUUCCCCAGUACCUCCA